GACGAACGUUGGCGGCGUGCUUAACACAUGCAAGUCGAACGGAAAGGCCCUGCUUUUGUGGGGUGCUCGAGUGGCGAACGGGUGAGUAACACGUGAGUAACCUGCCCUUGACUUUGGGAUAACUUCAGGAAACUGGGGCUAAUACCGGAUAGGAGCUCCUGCUGCAUGGUGGGGGUUGGAAAGUUUCGGCGGUUGGGGAUGGACUCGCGGCUUAUCAGCUUGUUGGUGGGGUAGUGGCUUACCAAGGCUUUGACGGGUAGCCGGCCUGAGAGGGUGACCGGCCACAUUGGGAUUGAGAUACGGCCCAGACUCCUACGGGAGGCAGCAGUGGGGAAUAUUGCACAAUGGGCGGAAGCCUGAUGCAGCAACGCCGCGUGCGGGAUGACGGCCUUCGGGUUGUAAACCGCUUUCGCCUGUGACGAAGCGUGAGUGACGGUAAUGGGUAAAGAAGCACCGGCUAACUACGUGCCAGCAGCCGCGGUGAUACGUAGGGUGCGAGCGUUGUCCGGAUUUAUUGGGCGUAAAGGGCUCGUAGGUGGUUGAUCGCGUCGGAAGUGUAAUCUUGGGGCUUAACCCUGAGCGUGCUUUCGAUACGGGUUGACUUGAGGAAGGUAGGGGAGAAUGGAAUUCCUGGUGGAGCGGUGGAAUGCGCAGAUAUCAGGAGGAACACCAGUGGCGAAGGCGGUUCUCUGGGCCUUUCCUGACGCUGAGGAGCGAAAGCGUGGGGAGCGAACAGGCUUAGAUACCCUGGUAGUCCACGCUGUAAACGGUGGGUACUAGGUGUGGGGUCCAUUCCACGGGUUCCGUGCCGUAGCUAACGCUUUAAGUACCCCGCCUGGGGAGUACGGCCGCAAGGCUAAAACUCAAAGGAAUUGACGGGGCCCCGCACAAGCGGCGGAGCAUGCGGAUUAAUUCGAUGCAACGCGUAGAACCUUACCUGGGUUUGACAUGGAUCGGGAGUGCUCAGAGAUGGGUGUGCCUCUUUUGGGGUCGGUUCACAGGUGGUGCAUGGCUGUCGUCAGCUCGUGUCGUGAGAUGUUGGGUUAAGUCCCGCAACGAGCGCAACCCUUGUUCACUGUUGCCAGCACGUUAUGGUGGGGACUCAGUGGAGACCGCCGGGGUCAACUCGGAGGAAGGUGGGGAUGACGUCAAGUCAUCAUGCCCCUUAUGUCCAGGGCUUCACGCAUGCUACAAUGGCUGGUACAGAGAGUGGCGAGCCUGUGAGGGUGAGCGAAUCUCGGGAAGCCGGUCUCAGUUCGGAUUGGGGUCUGCAACUCGACCUCAUGAAGUCGGAGUCGCUAGUAAUCGCAGAUCAGCAGCGCUGCGGUGAAUACGUUCCCGGG
rnacentral:rRNA from 1 species